GACGAACGCUGGCGGCGUGCUUAACACAUGCAAGUCGAACGGAAAGGCCCUGCGUUUGUGGGGUUCUCGAGGGGCGAACGGGUGAGUAACACGUGAGUAACCUGCCCUUGACUUUGGGAGAACUUCAGGAAGCUGGGGCUAAUACCGGAUCGGAUCUCCCGUUGCAUGGUGGGCGGUGGAAAGUCUCGGCGGUUGGGGAUGGACUCGCGGCUUAUGAGCUUGCUGGUUGGGGAGUGGCUUACCAAGGCAUGGACGGGUAGCCGGCCUGAGAGGGUGACCGGGCACAUUGGGACUGAGGUACGGACCAGACUGCUACGGGAGGCAGCAGUGGGGAAUAUUGCACAGUGGGAGGAAGCCUGAUGCAGCAGCGCCGCGGGCGGGAUGACGGCCUUCGGGGUGUAAAAAGCUUUCGCCUGUGACGAAGCGUGAGUGACGGUAAUGAAUGAAGAAGCACCGGCUAACUACGUG
rnacentral:rRNA from 1 species